CCUACUGGUGACAUCAUUGGGGCAUCUUGCACAAUGGGGGAAACCCUGAUGCAGCGACGCCGCGUGGGGUCCUCCUUCUUUCUUUCUUUCCCUCUCUCUCCUCCUUUCCUCCCAUUCCUUUACCUUACUAAGAAGCCCCGGCUAACUACGUGCCAUCAGCCGCGGUAAUACGUAGUGGUCCAGCGUUAUCCUUAUUUACUUGGUGUAAAGGGAGCGUAGAUGGCCAGACAAGUCAGAAGUGAAAGCCCAGGGCUCAACCCUGGGACUGCUUUUGAAACUGGCGGGCUGGAGUGCAGGAGAGGUAAGCGGAAUUCCUAGUGUAGCGGUGAAAUGCGUAGAGAUUAGGAGGAACACCAGUGGCGAAGGCGGCUUAAUGGACUGUAAAUGACGUUGAGGCUCGAAAGCGGGGGGAGAAAACAGGAUGAGAGAAAAAAGGAGUC
rnacentral:rRNA from 1 species